rnacentral:rRNA from 1 species
UACAGGGGGGGCUAGCGUUAUUCGGAAUUAUUGGGCGUAAAGGGCUCGUAGGUGGCCAACUAAGUCAUACGUGAAAUCCCUCGGCUUAACCGGGGAACUGCGUCUGAUACUGGAUGGCUUGAGGUUGGGAGAGGGAUGCGGAAUUCCAGGUGUAGCGGUGAAAUACGUAGAUAUCUGGAGGAACACCGGUGGCGAAGGCGGCAUCCUGGACCAAUUCUGACACUGAGGAGCGAAAGCCAGGGGAGCAAACGGG